rnacentral:rRNA from 1 species
AUUGAACGCUGGCGGCAGGCCUAACACAUGCAAGUCGAGCGGUAGAGAGAAGCUUGCUUCUCUUGAGGGCGGCGGACGGGUGAGUAAUGCCUAGGAAUCUGCCUGAUAGUGGGGGAUAACGUCCGGAAACGGACGCUAAUACCGCAUACGUCCUACGGGAGAAAGUGAGGGCUCUUCGGACCUCGCGCUAUCAGAUGAGCCUAGGUCGGAUUAGCUAGUUGGUGGGGUAAAGGCUCACCAAGGCGACGAUCCGUAACUGGUCUGAGAGGAUGAUCAGUCACACUGGAACUGAGACACGGUCCAGACUCCUACGGGAGGCAGCAGUGGGGAAUACUGGACAAUGGGCGAAAGCCUGACCCAGCCAUGCCGCGUGUGUGAAGAAGGUCUUCGGAUUGUAAAGCACUUUAAGUUGGGAGGAAGGGUCGUUACCUAAUACGUGACGAUUUUGACGUUACCGACAGAAUAAGCACCGGCUAACUCUGUGCCAGCCGCCGCCGUAAGAC